rnacentral:rRNA from 1 species
UUAAGCGAAUAAGCGUACACGGUGGAUGCCUAGGCAAUCAGAGGCGAUGAAGGACGUGCUAAUCUGCGAUAAGCGUCGGUAAGGUGAUAUGAACCGUUAUACCCGACGAUUUCCGAAUGGGGAAACCCAAUAUCCAAUGGAUAUUAUCAUUAACUGAAUACAUAGGUUAAUGAAGCGAACCGGGAGAACUGAAACAUCUCAGUACCCCGAGGAAAAGAAAUCAACCGAGAUUCCCCUAGUAGCGGCGAGCGAACGGGGAACAGCCCAGAGUCUUAAUCAACAGCAGCAUCAGGAGAACGGUCUGGAAAGUCCGGCAGUAAAGGGUGAUAGCCCCGUAUCCGAAGAUGCUGUUAUUGUGAACUCGACGAGUAGGGCGGGACACGUGUUAUCCUGUCUGAAUAUGGGGGGACCAUCCUCCAAGGCUAAAUACUCCUGAUUGACCGAUAGUGAACCAGUACCGUGAGGGAAAGGCGAAAAGAACCCCGGCGAGGGGAGUGAAAAAGAACCUGAAACCGUGUACGUACAAGCAGUAGGAGCCCCACCACUAAGCUAGUGGUGAACUCACAGCGAUUCUUUUGCAUGAUAAAGAGCGGUAGACGACGCGAAGUGACGUCCAACCAAUCCAAUCAGGCAGAGGAGGCUUAGUGGUGGGGUGACUGCGUACCUUUUGUAUAAUGGGUCAGCGACUUAUAUUCUGUAGCAAGGUUAACCGAAUAGGGGAGCCGUAGGGAAACCGAGUCUUAACUGGGCGAAUGAGUUGCAGGGUAUAGACCCGAAACCCGGUGAUCUAUCCAUGGGCAGGUUGAAGGUUGGGUAACACUAACUGGAGGACCGAACCGACUAAUGUUGAAAAAUUAGCGGAUGACUUGUGGAUGGGGGUGAAAGGCCAAUCAAACCGGGAGAUAGCUGGUUCUCCCCGAAAGCUAUUUAGGUAGCGCCUCGUGAACUCAUCUUCGGGGGUAGAGCACUGUUUCGACUAGGGGGUCAUCCCGACUUACCAACUCGAUGCAAACUGCGAAUACCGAAGAAUGUUAUCACGGGAGACACACGGCGGGUGCUAACGUCCGUCGUGAAGAGGGAAACAACCCAGACCGCCAGCUAAGGUCCCAAAGUCAUGGUUAAGUGGGAAACGAAGUGGGAAGGCUCAGACAGCCAGGAUGUUGGCUUAGAAGCAGCCAUCAUUUAAAGAAAGCGUAAUAGCUCACUGGUCGAGUCGGCCCGCGCGGAAGAUGUAACGGGGCUAAACCAUGCACCGAAGCUGCGGCAGCAACACUAAGUGUUGUUGGGUAGGGGAGCGUUCUGUAAGCCUGCGAAGGUGUACUGUGAGGUAUGCUGGAGGUAUCAGAAGUGCGAAUGCUGACAUAAGUAACGAUAAUGCGGGUGAAAAACCCGCACGCCGGAAGACCAAGGGUUCCUGUCCAACGUUAAUCGGGGCAGGGUGAGUCGACCCCUAAGGCGAGGCUGAAAAGCGUAGUCGAUGGGAAACGGGUUAAUAUUCCCGUACUGGUGGUAACUGCGAUGGGGGAACGGAGAAGGCUAGGUUGUCCGGGCGACGGUCGUCCCGGUUCAAGCAUGUAGGCAGAGUGAUUAGGCAAAUCCGGUCACUUAAUGCUGAGGUGUGAUGACGAGCCACUAAGGUGGUGAAGCAAUUGAUGCCCUGCUUCCAGGAAAAGCCUCUAAGCUUCAGGUUACCAACAAUCGUACCCCAAACCGACACAGGUGGUCAGGUAGAGAAUACUCAGGCGCUUGAGAGAACUCGGGUGAAGGAACUAGGCAAAAUGGUGCCGUAACUUCGGGAGAAGGCACGCUGGCGGUAAGUGAAGUCCCUUGCGGACGGAGCCGAAGCCAGUCGAAGAUACCAGCUGGCUGCAACUGUUUAUUAAAAACACAGCACUGUGCAAACACGAAAGUGGACGUAUACGGUGUGACGCCUGCCCGGUGCUGGAAGGUUAAUUGAUGGGGUUAUCCUUAGGGAGAAGCUCUUGAUCGAAGCCCCAGUAAACGGCGGCCGUAACUAUAACGGUCCUAAGGUAGCGAAAUUCCUUGUCGGGUAAGUUCCGACCUGCACGAAUGGCGUAAUGAUGGCCAGGCUGUCUCCACCCGAGACUCAGUGAAAUUGAACUCGCUGUGAAGAUGCAGUGUACCCGCGGCAAGACGGAAAGACCCCGUGAACCUUUACUAUAGCUUGACACUGAACAUUGAGCCUUGAUGUGUAGGAUAGGUGGGAGACUAUGAAGUGUGGACGCCAGUCUGCAUGGAGUCAACCUUGAAAUACCACCCUUUAACGUUUGAUGUUCUAACCUAGGCCCGUAAUCCGGGUCGGGGACCGUGUCUGGUGGGUAGUUUGACUGGGGCGGUCUCCUCCUAAAGAGUAACGGAGGAGCACGAAGGUUGGCUAAGCAUGGUCGGACAUCAUGCGGUUAGUGCAAAGGCAUAAGCCAGCUUGACUGUGAGAGUGACGGCUCGAGCAGGUACGAAAGUAGGUCUUAGUGAUCCGGUGGUUCUGAAUGGAAGGGCCAUCGCUCAACGGAUAAAAGGUACUCCGGGGAUAACAGGCUGAUACCGCCCAAGAGUUCAUAUCGACGGCGGUGUUUGGCACCUCGAUGUCGGCUCAUCACAUCCUGGGGCUGAAGUAGGUCCCAAGGGUAUGGCUGUUCGCCAUUUAAAGUGGUACGCGAGCUGGGUUUAGAACGUCGUGAGACAGUUCGGUCCCUAUCUGCCGUGGGCGUUGGAAGAUUGAGAGGGGUUGCUCCUAGUACGAGAGGACCGGAGUGAACGCACCACUGGUGUUCGGGUUGUCAUGCCAAUGGCAUUGCCCGGUAGCUAAGUGCGGAAGAGAUAACCGCUGAAAGCAUCUAAGCGGGAAACUUGCCUCGAGAUGAGUCUUCCCUGUCACCUUGAGUGACCUAAAGGAACGUUUAAGACUAAGACGUUGAUAGGCUGGGUGUGUAAGCGUAGCGAUACGUUGAGCUAACCAGUACUAAUGAACCGUGAGGCUUAACCUG